CACUGCUCCUCACACCUCAGACAUUUUCACAAACAAUAGCCCUACACUAAACCACAUACACACUACGACAGGUAUUCCCCAACAUAUGCCCAUGCAGAAUCCAUCCCACACACCUACCUUUAAUCUCCUAGAAAACAUACACAUCAGCUCUGGCAUCAAUAACCUACUGGCACCAAGGACAAGUGUAACCCAAGCCACCCUUGCAAGACUAUUUCAACCCUACAGGAGAGUGAAUGGAUUUUCUAUCAGAAAUAGUCCAAAUACGACAAAUGAAUGGGAGAACGAUUUUUUUUGUGACACUACCCAUUUUCCUACCGUAACAGAAAAGUUUGCCCUUCAGUGCUGUGGACUAGGAAAAAGAAGGGUGAAGUUCAACAACAAAAACGACACACAUAGAGACUUUGUUGAUAAAGUGAUAGAGGUCUUCCCUUAAGUUAAGUGAGGCAGGUGGUCUCAGGGUGUGUCGUUGUAGCCGGGAUUUUAAAUUGGUUGAAAUUCAAAUUCCUCCUGAAGGAUAUACCAUUUGUUUUUUAAGGGAAGAAAGUGGCCUUAAGAGAGGUGUGGCAUACCUAGUCCCUAUACAGAAAUGCCUUCGCACUAAUAUGGCAACCUCCACUACGGUCUACCAGACAGCGGUGGUUAAAGAGAAGUGCCUCCACUGUAAUGAAGAGGUGCCACUGCAUGUUCUUGAGGACCACUUGACUGCAUGUGUUGCAAGGAUAGACAGCAAGGAAUUGGAAGAGCUCCUGGACGAGGGAUCCGUCAGAGAGGUGGGCAUGGGAUCCGUCAGAGAGAAUUAACAGAAAACCCCAUAGUGGUGGUCGUGGCCGUGUGCUGACCGACCAGCAAGCGUUGGCAGUGGUGGAAAUGGUGAGGGCCAGGAAUGAUAUACGGCAGUCAGAAAUAAAGCAGGCAAUUGAGGAGAACAAUGACACCUUUGCCAAUGUGGCAUCCAUCAGCCUACCAACAGUAGCCCGCCUUUUAAAGCGGCACCAGGUAUCAAUGAA
ensembl:lncRNA